UGUUCCCGCUAGGGUGAGCCCUUUAGAUUCGAGUGGCAUAUCAGUGUUACACCACAGAAGAAAAGAAAAAGAGGAUGGAGUACUUGUGUUGCCUCUUAAUGCAGAGUAGACUCACAUACACACAGCACAAAAGUCCAACAUGAUCAAUGCUUUCAUCAUAUUUUCUGUCACACUACUGUGUCUUCCAGGUUCUGGGGUUUGUUCUGUAUUUCAGACUCCUCCUGAUCUCAUCAAAAAUCUAAAUGAGAUUGUUGAGAUCAAAUGUGCACACAAUGUAUCGAGCUAUGAUCGCAUUCUGUGGUACAAACACAGCCAGGACACAGGAUUUACAUUCAUGGGAUACAUUUAUGCUACUUCUUUAAAGCCUGAGGCAGAAUUUACAACCAAAAUCAAACUGAGUGGUGAUGGGAGCAAAAACGGUUCUUUGACCAUAAACAGUGUUUCAGUAAACGACAGUGCUGUGUAUUACUGUGCAGCUUAUUACACAGUGCUGUAGAUCAGCUCACUUCACUACAAAAACCUUCAUCUGAUCAGCAUGACCUCCCCACCAGAACACCUGGAGCUGUGGUGGGAUUUGAUUUAUUGCCAAUAAACCA